rnacentral:rRNA from 1 species
GACGAACCGUGCGAACGUUGUUCGGAAUCACUGGGCUUAAAGGGCGCGUAGGCGGCUUGCCAAGUCGGGGGUGAAAUACUUCAGCUUAACUGGAGAAGUGCCUUCGAUACUGGCAGGCUUGAGGGAGGUAGGGGUCUGCGGAACUUCUGGUGGAGGCGGUGAAAUGCGUUGAUAUCAGAAGGAACGCCGGUGGCGAAAGCGGCGGACUGGACCUCUUCUGACCGCUGAGGCGCGAAAGCUAGGGGAGCAAACGGG